UGGCGAUGCGUUCAUUCAAAGUUUCUUGCCACUAUCAAGUUUCGAUGGUCAGGCAUCAGAGGCUCACCAAUGGCUUUUUACGGGUAACUGCGCGACAUUAGGGUUCGAUUACCGUGAGAGGGCAGCCUGAGAAACGGAUACCAUCAUCUAAUGGAAUGAGCAGCAGUGAGCAAAAUUACCCAAUCCUGAUUCAGGGAGGUAGUGACAAUAAAUAACAAUCCAGGACUUCGGUCUUGGAAUUGGAAUGAGAACAAUUUAAAUCUCUUAUCGACGGAACAAUUGGAAGGGCAAGUCUGGUGCCAGCAGCCGCGGUAAUUCCAGCUCCAAUAGCGUAUAUUAAAGUUGUUGCAGUUAAAAAGCUCGUAAGUUGAAUUUUAGGCCUGGUUUGGACGGUCUGCCUUU
rnacentral:rRNA from 1 species